rnacentral:rRNA from 1 species
UUAAGCGACUAAGCGUACACGGUGGAUGCCCUGGCAGUCAGAGGCGAUGAAGGACGUGCUAAUCUGCGAAAAGCGUCGGUAAGGUGAUAUGAACCGUUAUAACCGGCGAUGUCCGAAUGGGGAAACCCAGUGCAAUUCGUUGCACUAUCGUUAACUGAAUACAUAGGUUAACGAGGCGAACCGGGGGAACUGAAACAUCUAAGUACCCCGAGGAAAAGAAAUCAACCGAGAUUCCCCCAGUAGCGGCGAGCGAACGGGGAGCAGCCCAGAGUCUGAAUCAGCUUGUGUGUUAGUGGAACGGUCUGGAAAGUCCGACGGUACAGGGUGAUAGUCCCGUACACCAAAAUGCACAGGCUGUGAACUCGAAGAGUAGGGCGGGACACGUGGUAUCCUGUCUGAAUAUGGGGGGACCAUCCUCCAAGGCUAAAUACUCCUGACUGACCGAUAGUGAACCAGUACCGUGAGGGAAAGGCGAAAAGAACCCCGGCGAGGGGAGUGAAAAAGAACCUGAAACCGUGUACGUACAAGCAGUGGGAGCACCUUCGGGUGUGACUGCGUACCUUUUGUAUAAUGGGUCAGCGACUUAUAUUCUGUAGCAAGGUUAACCGUAUAGGGGAGCCGCAGGGAAACCGAGUCUUAACUGGGCGUUAAGUUGCAGGGUAUAGACCCGAAACCCGGUGAUCUAGCCAUGGGCAGGUUGAAGGUUGGGUAACACUAACUGGAGGACCGAACCGACUAAUGUUGAAAAAUUAGCGGAUGACUUGUGGCUGGGGGUGAAAGGCCAAUCAAACCGGGAGAUAGCUGGUUCUCCCCGAAAGCUAUUUAGGUAGCGCCUCGUGAACUCAUCUUCGGGGGUAGAGCACUGUUUCGGCUAGGGGGGUCAUCCCGACUUACCAACCCGAUGCAAACUACGAAUACCGAAGAAUGUUAUCACGGGAGACACACGGCGGGUGCUAACGUCCGUCGUGAAGAGGGAAACAACCCAGACCGCCAGCUAAGGUCCCAAAGUCAUGGUUAAGUGGGAAACGAUGUGGGAAGGCACAGACAGCCGGAUGUUGGCUUAGAAGCAGCCAUCAUUUAAAAGCGUAAUAGCUCACUGGUCGAGUCGGCCUGCGCGGAAGAUGUAACGGGGCUAAACCAUGCACCGAAGCUGCGGCAGCGACACUAUGUGUUGUUGGGUAGGGGAGCGUUCUGUAAGCCUGCGAAGGUGUGCUGUGAGGCAUGCUGGAGGUAUCAGAAGUGCGAAUGCUGACAUAAGUAACGAUAAAGCGGGUGAAAAGCCCGCUCGCCGGAAGACCAAGGGUUCCUGUCCAACGUUAAUCGGGGCAGGGUGAGUCGACCCCUAAGGCGAGGCCGAAAGGCGUAGUCGAUGGGAAACAGGUUAAUAUUCCUGUACUUGGUGUUACUGCGAAGGGGGGACGGAGAAGGCUAUGUUAGCCGGGCGACGGUUGUCCCGGUUUAAGCAUGUAGGCUGGUUAUCCAGGCAAAUCCGGAUAAUCAAGGCUGAGGUGUGAUGACGAGGCACUACGGUGCUGAAGUAACAAAUGCCCUGCUUCCAGGAAAAGCCUCUAAGCAUCAGGUAACAUCAAAUCGUACCCCAAACCGACACAGGUGGUCAGGUAGAGAAUACCAAGGCGCUUGAGAGAACUCGGGUGAAGGAACUAGGCAAAAUGGUGCCGUAACUUCGGGAGAAGGCACGCUGGUGUGUAGGUGAAGUCCCUGCGGAUGGAGCUGAGACCAGUCGAAGAUACCAGCUGGCUGCAACUGUUUAUUAAAAACACAGCACUGUGCAAACACGAAAGUGGACGUAUACGGUGUGACGCCUGCCCGGUGCCGGAAGGUUAAUUGAUGGGGUUAUCCGUAAGGAGAAGCUCUUGAUCGAAGCCCCGGUAAACGGCGGCCGUAACUAUAACGGUCCUAAGGUAGCGAAAUUCCUUGUCGGGUAAGUUCCGACCUGCACGAAUGGCGUAAUGAUGGCGGGCUGUCCACCCGAGACUCAGUGAAAUUGAACUCGCUGUGAAGAUGCAGUGUACCCGCGGCAAGACGGAAAGACCCCGUGAACCUUUACUAUAGCUUGACACUGAACAUUGAGCCUUGAUGUGUAGGAUAGGUGGGAGGCUUUGAAGCGUGGACGCCAGUCUGCGUGGAGCCAACCUUGAAAUACCACCCUUUAAUGUUUGAUGUUCUAACGUUGGCCCCUUACCGGGGUUGCGGACAGUGUCUGGUGGGUAGUUUGACUGGGGCGGUCUCCUCCCAAAGCGUAACGGAGGAGCACGAAGGUUAGCUAAUCCUGGUCGGACAUCAGGAGGUUAGUGCAAUGGCAUAAGCUAGCUUGACUGCGAGCGUGACGGCGCGAGCAGGUGCGAAAGCAGGUCAUAGUGAUCCGGUGGUUCUGAAUGGAAGGGCCAUCGCUCAACGGAUAAAAGGUACUCCGGGGAUAACAGGCUGAUACCGCCCAAGAGUUCAUAUCGACGGCGGUGUUUGGCACCUCGAUGUCGGCUCAUCACAUCCUGGGGCUGAAGUAGGUCCCAAGGGUAUGGCUGUUCGCCAUUUAAAGUGGUACGCGAGCUGGGUUUAGAACGUCGUGAGACAGUUCGGUCCCUAUCUGCCGUGGGCGCUGGAGAAUUGAGGGGGGCUGCUCCUAGUACGAGAGGACCGGAGUGGACGCAUCACUGGUGUUCGGGUUGUCAUGCCAAUGGCACUGCCCGGUAGCUAAAUGCGGAAGAGAUAAGUGCUGAAAGCAUCUAAGCACGAAACUUGCCCCGAGAUGAGUUCUCCCUGAGACUUUAAGUCUCCUGAAGGAACGUUAAAGACGAUGACGUUGAUAGGCCGGGUGUGUAAGCGCAGCGAUGCGUUGAGCUAACCGGUACUAAUGAACCGUGAGGCUUAACCU